ACUUGAAUAAAGAGGUCUCUCUAGACAAAAGAUUAUUUUUUCCACCAAUGUGCCUUAGGUCAUUAAGUUUUACUAUCAGCAUUUUUCCCUAAGUCUUUAAUCAUAACAAAGCUGAGCUUACUAAAUUAUUAUUUGAUUGUUUUCAGGAGUAGAAAUGCCGGGCGAAGGUCCAGUGUACUGAGUACAUCACAAAUAAUACCUUGCAAGCAUUCAAAGUCAACAUCAUGGCAAGUAGCUUGGAGGAGGGAUCAGUAGAAAUGUUUAUGUAGUAAAUGUUGCCAUAACCGUAAUAAAGACUGAUUGCUGAAGAGAA